GACUGAGUGGCGGACGGGUGAGUAACGCGUGAGUAACCUGCCCUUCAGAGGGGGAUAGCGUUUGGAAACGAACGGUAAUACCGCAUAAUGUAUUUUGACCGCAUGAUCGAAAUACCAAAGAUUUAUCGCUGAAGGAUGGACUCGCGUCUGAUUAGGUAGUUGGUGGGGUAACGGCCUACCAAGCCGACGAUCAGUAGCCGGACUGAGAGGUUGAACGGCCACAUUGGGACUGAGAUACGGCCCAGACUCC
rnacentral:rRNA from 1 species